AUGCACGCUGGCGGCGUGCCUAAUCCAUGCAAGUCGAGCGAACGAACGAGAAGCUUGCUUCUCUGAUGUUAGCGGCGGACGGGUGAGUAACACGUGGAUAACCUACCUAUAAGACUGGGAUAACUUCGGGAAACCGGAGCUAAUACCGGAUAAUAUUUUGAACCGCAUGGUUCAAAAGUGAAAGACGGUCUUGCUGUCACUUAUAGAUGGAUCCGCGCUGCAUUAGCUAGUUGGUAAGGUAACGGCUUACCAAGGCAACGAUGCAUAGCCGACCUGAGAGGGUGAUCGGCCACACUGGAACUGAGACACGGUCCAGACUCCUACGGGAGGCAGCAGUAGGGAAUCUUCCGCAAUGGGCGAAAGCCUGACGGAGCAACGCCGCGUGAGUGAUGAAGGUCUUCGGAUCGUAAAACUCUGUUAUUAGGGAAGAACAUAUGUGUAAGUAACUGUGCACAUCUUGACGGUACCUAAUCAGAAAGCCACGGCUAACUACGUG
rnacentral:rRNA from 1 species